rnacentral:snRNA from 1 species
CAGCACAAUCCUGAAAUACUGAAGUUAGAACGAUAUGGAGAAGAUUACUGUGGCUCCUGUGCAACAAUGAUACACAAAUUCAUAAAGCCUUCCACAUUUAA